GUGGCCAGCCCUGCUCAGUUGGCCACACCUGCACUUGGUUUGGUAACAAGGAAGGAGCUGGGCUUGUAGGGAAAGGCUGGUGUGUAAGUAGUGUGCUGAUGCUGCUUUUAUGGAGAGCUGUAAGCUGAGAAAAGGCUGAAUUGGGAAUAUACUGCUCUAUGAGAGAGCUGAAGCACUUCUGAGCUUGAGGUAGAGACCUUUUUAUAGGGUGAUGAUGUUAAACUGAGGAAUACUGCCUGGAUGAAAGCUGCUGUUGUGAAGGUGCCUCCCAAGGAAGAGGAAGGAGUGUGGGGAAGCAGUGAGGAGUGGAGUUCAGCUGCUCUGCAUGAUGUUUCCUGAUAUUUUUCCCUUUGGGAAAGGGCAGACUACUGAGAGCAAGGAGUAAGAAUGAAAGACUUGGCAAUGUAGCUACAGCCCUGCUUGUCCAGUGAGUCUUCAGAGGAAUAAGGCCUGGCAUGCUGUGCCUGGUGCAGCUGGAGACAAAGGAGAGAAACCAAACCUGCUGAGUUGGGCAGAGUGAGAGAUCAGAGGUUACUUUUUCCUCAAGAAGAUGCUCCUUUGAAAGUCUGGGGCCUUGAUUAUCUCAUUUGCUGUUACCUGUCUACAAAUGGCUCUCAGAUGAGAUCUGCUUCAGCUCCUGGAAGUGAUGCAGCAUUAAUAGGUAAUUCAGAAUGUCCUUUUGAUGCCUCCUAUUCAUGCAUCUGUCAGAACUUCACAUUCUUUGAAAAAUAGACACCGUGCUGUGGACAUGCCAGGAAUUGAGGACACAAAUGGGAUUUCAGCCUGGAAAUGCUUCUGUACAGUCUAAGGUCUACCAGCCACUGAGAAGUCUCCAGAUAAUGCUGACUCUGAGCGGUACCAUCUGGACUUGAUUUGAAUCAAAAGUCGGGAUGGAAAAUCCUUGGUAACUCUUAGACCCAAAGGCCUGGAAUAACAGAACCCACCACACUUGCAAGAGGGCAACUAUUCCUGGUCCGUGAGCACUGAUGUCUCUCCCUCACUGGUGAGAAACCACCCACAGAUUCAGAAGUGUUUCAUGUUGGGUUUCUUUUCGAGGGUAACCAGAAAGGCAUGUGUGAUUUAUCCUUAUGAGACCAGUUGGUAGAAACAGAAAUGGAUGUGUUUAGCAAACAAUGUAUUUUGAAAAUAAGCUUAAUGUAUUUUUAAAAACUCUGCUUGGUUUGUUUUUGGGGUUUUUUUGGUUGUUAAAAUUAGCAAUAAGAGCAUGUACUAACUUUCUUUAACUAUUGACUUUCUAAACAUUUCUCUUUGAGGGUACAGGUAGCUGGAGUUUAUAGUUUGGCUGUGUUAAUGAAGAUAAGAGGGUUUUAUUAGAACCUGAACAACAAUAUUUCAGGACUGCAUGAAUUAAGUAUUCCAAAGAUUAGAUUUUUCCUGAAGAGUUGAUUUCCUCAGUGACUAAGAAAGGAAGUGUUAACCAAUGUUUGCAGCAAGUCAGGUCCUGCGUGCUCGCUGCUAACGCUGGCAGGUUUCUGUGCACUGCGUAUAGAUGGCCGUGUAGAGAUGGGUGAACCUCAACGUGUUUUGGAGGUUCAGUUCUAAUUAUUAAUAAGCACCUGCAUGGUUGAAUGCUUAUCUGAAGCACAGCACAACCUCAAAGCCAGCUGGGAGGCUCCAGGCAGAGCCUCCUGCGUGCCCUCAGGCUUGCACCGAUGCGCGGUGCUCUCCAGACCUCCUGGGAGCACUGGGAUAUUUUUGGUAAGGCUCUGUGGAGCACGGGAGGAGCGGGAUGUCUUUGAUGGGGAUGUUCAUGGUGCGGUUGGUUGACAGAGACCGUUCAAGGAAGUCUCACAGCUGUGGUGUGAGCUGGCACAGGUGACGAGUCCAAAUGGACAGAAAGUGAUUUCUGGAACUCUUUGUUACAGGAACUGUCGCAGGUAAAGGUAGUUAUUAAGGAAGGGAAAGACCUUCCUGGACUUUCCCACCCCUAGCAGUGGCCUGGAUUUGGGCUUUGCUGAGCUAUUUUGUCAUAAUGUUGUGCUGCCAUAACGCCAGUGGCUCAGUUCAGUCUACCCGAGCCUCUGGCUUCAGCCACGUGGAGAAAUGUCCCAGUUCGUGCUGUGGUCGGUGUGGGUAGUGAAGGUGCUGGGGAAUCAGGCAUGGCUGGUCUCUGCAAUGCUGUCUCUGCGGAGCAGCUCGUUGUGUUUCUCCCCCUUAGCAUCAGCAGAUACCUAAAUCUCUGGGCACUCUUUGUGAUUCCAACCUGACCACACUGCACCUUGUUGCAGCUUCCAAAGGAGGACACACAUUCCUGGUUUUUAGAAACAAAACUGGACUUGUGUACUCAAAUGUGGGAUGCCUCUAAUGUUUUCCUUUGAUGCUUGUUGUUUGUGAGCAUUGUGACUCAUUUUCUAGCAAGAGUCGGAAGCUUUGUCUGAAAAUGAGGUUCCAGUAGUGUACUCAGUGACAUCCAGCCCCACUUUCCAAAUCUGCAGUUAAAAUGGAUCUCAGAGAAAGAACGGUACCACUAACCAUAGCCUUGGGAUGGAAGCAGCAUGGGGAGGACAAUCCUUGUCUGACACAGGGAUGCUGCUGCCAAGGCGGAAAUAAAGUUAUAUUUCAUAAGACUAUCCUUCUUGUUGACAUUCCAAGUAUUAUGGAAAAAAUCAAUGUAAUAAGCAUCAGUGCUGGCAUCCCUUUGUCCAGCACACAGUAAUCCUGGCUGAUCCCUAAGGAAAAGGCAGAAAAAGCCUAAGCCAAAUAUUUUUAUCUUGUUUGCUUUUAUCUCAUAUUAGAAAAAAAUCUUCACCAUCGUUUGUGUGAUGUGGGAUAAAAUAACACCACCAGAGCCAGGAGGUUUUCUGUUAAUGUGAGAGUUAUUUCAGGAGUAUUAUGUUAUCUAGAUAUAAUCAAAAUGUGUCUGUGUAUUUUUAUCCGAGCCCAUUGCUUCUGUGCACUGCUCUGCAGAAUAAAUACUACCCAAGAAUUU